AUCCACCUGUAUAAUCCAGGAUAAUCUUAUUACAAUUUCCUUAACAUAACUGAAUUGGCAAACACUUUUUUCCCAAAACAAAGUCACAUUUAUGAGUUACAAAUCCAACCAGCCAUUCCAAAUUAUAGGAGAAAACCCCAUCAGCGCUAGAAGUGAAUUCAUUCAAUUAUCCUUUCUUCUCCAGGAUUUAAGUUCUUGUCAGAGAAAUGGAAGUUGCUCUGAACUUGAACUCUGCUCUUGGUUCAGUGGCCUGGUUCUUCCAUUAUUGGUCUCAUUUUGGCUUAACCCUGGAACAACUCUUGAUAUGUUGUAUAACUGCCUGACUCUACUCUGGGUUUCAUGUUUCUGGUGGCUUCUCCCAUAUUCAUCUUCCUCCUCAUGGACCAGCCUCCUUAUCAAUAGGCUGCCACACAAAAUACAUUCACUCUCCUAUGUUUGAAGCAUAGUCCAGUGAAAGUCCCCAAGGGCCUUCAUCAGGGUCUGAGAGGAGCUAGAAAGCCAUUCUCUUCCAUAUCCCCUGUGGUUUCCUUCAUAGUUAUGUAUAAGCCUAGAUUUGGCUUGGAGCUUUUUCCUCCAGCAGUUCCAGGAAGUGCUCCUGGGGCCUCUGUAGCCCACACUUCCUUGUUUCCUUGGGUUCUGUUUGUUCACAACCAAGGGUUGAUUUUUAUCAAUCCUUUGCUCGGGAUUUAUGGUAUUCUUUAAAAAGUUGCAUUUCCACUAUGACUCCAGACAGAUUCUUGUUUCUUUCUUGUCUAAAUUCUGUAUUUCCUGUCUUUGUUUAUCUUUUGGUCUCUGGGUGAUACUCUUUUUUUUUUUUCCUCCUUAGAGAAUGAACCAAUUACAAUGUUCAAUUUUUAAUUUGUUAAUCCAUUUCAUUACCUAUUAUUCUUUAUUUACUAACUCAUUUGCUGAAACCCUUAUUAGCUGCUCUAGGGUAUGGUUCUAUAAUUUUCUUUGAUUCUUAGCACUAGAAUCCUGAGCACUGACGGUGUGACAUGUGAUUUGGGCUAAUCCACAUCCUGACCUUUCCCUCACCAGAAGUAUCCACUGAUUCACAUGUCAUCACUGCAACCUUUGUUCCUUAAAGACACAGAAAAGCUAUAAAGACAAAUGGUAUACACGUUGUUACUCAAAUAUUUAAGUUUAUAAUCUUGCUUUUGUAUGACUGCUUUAUUUAAAGUGAUUUAUCAUGAGUAAGGAAGUAGGGAAAUGUCAGUUUGACGUACACACCAAAUUAGUGCUGGAAUGGAAUGAAAGGGUUUGGGUUGGUUUUUUUUUUUUCAGAGUGUUUGCAUUAAUAGUAACACUAGAUAUUUACUUUUUAUUAACUGGGCUUCCAUACGCAGGAAGUUUAUUUUGUUAGAGUACCUGCAUGACAAUAAAGUGCUCCUAAUUUCAACCUUUAUUUCUGCUACUAAUUGCUUUUUUGUGGUUAGUAAACCAUUUGGUAUCCUUUGGGCCCAGGGGGAUUUACACAUAUGUAUAUACAUGCAAUAUGCACAUACAUAUACAUAUAUAUGUAUAUAUCUACACACAUACACAUAUGUAUGUAUACAUAUACAUUCAUGUAUAUACACACAUAUACUUAUAUAUGUAUAUAUCUACACACAUAUAUACAUAUGUAUAUACAUGUAAUAUACACACACAUAUAUGUAUAUACACACAUAUAUGUAUAUACACACUUAUAUAUACACAAACAUAUACACACUAUAUAUGUAUUACACACACAUACAGAUGUAUAUGUAUAUUUAUAUGCACACACGUUUAUGUAUGUAUAUAUACAUAUAUAGGUAUAUAUAUACACACACAUAUAUUCAAAAGAGUCUAUAAUAUCAACUUCAUAGCCCAUGUUUAUUUUCUAAUAAAGGACCCACGAGGCUCACAAGGCAGCACACCGAUAGUAUCUUUUUGGGAACUGCAAUUAUAGCCUAGUUGGUGGAUGUUCACUAGCAUCCACAAAGACCUAAGUUUAAAUCUCAGGGACUACAUAUAUGUUGAAGGUCUAUAAUCCCACCAGUGAUGGAGUGGAGACAGGAGGGUCAAAAGUUCAGUAUCAUCCUUGGCUACAUUUCAAGUUCAAGGACAGCCUGGGAUGUAUAAGACACUAUCUCAAACGAACAAAACAAACCCCAAAACCUGUCUUCUCUACACCUCCUACCUUUCCCUUGACCACUGUCUCCAUAUCUAAACCUUUUCCAAACAGGAGUUGUCCACGGCUCACCACAUCACACAGCAGGUACUGUUCUUAGAACCAAAUGCGUGAAGUCAAAUAUCAUCAUUAUUUUUACAUUUUUUUCUUUCAUUUUCAACCAAGGGUCUUACUGAUACCCGCCAAGGCAAAAAUUGGAAAAUAGCAAACUACUUCAAGGAAAGUUUGGAUGUAAAUCAUUUUCAAUCACAUUUCAUUUCUGUACAAAACGUGCCUUUACCUGCACACAUCAUUAGAAAGAUUGACAGAUGAAAAUCUUAGGCUCCUGGGACCUGGCUCAUGCCUUGUGUGCACUUCCCUCUCGGCAAGCAAAGGAAGCCUUUUCUGUAGCCUCUCCCUUUUCACAGAAAUGUACUGUAAAUUUCUGCCUUUUUUCUUUCUUAGGCAGAUUCUCAUUAUAUAGCACUGGGUGGGCUGGGCUGGUUGAUGUGUACCAUGUGACUUCGUUUUGCAAUUUUUAGUGGCUAAAUUUGUAAAGACUUCUCCUCUUGCUUCUACCAUUUCAGUUGUCUACUCAAAAAAAAUUAAAGAACUGAAAAGGUUUGCCCCCAACUGUCAUUAAAAGCAGUGACAAUUCAAGAUAUGUGAUAAGAUACUAUUUUUUAAAAUUUGAGCAUUCAGGCUGGAGAGAUGGCUCAGCAGUUUAGAGCACUGGUUGCUCUUCCAGAGGUCCUGAGUUCUAUUCCCAGCAACCACAUGGUGGCUCACGACCAUCUGUAAUGGGAUCUGAUGCUCUCAUCUGUACAUGCAGCUAGAACACUCAUAUGCAUGAAAUAAAUAAAUAACAUAAUUCUUAAAAAUUUUUUGAACAUUAAUCAAUUAUCAGAGUACCCCGUUCAGUGGUCUAAUAAAAAAAAAUUAAAGAGUAUAGCAUUGGGUUAUAUACUUAGAUAUUACAGGAGAAGUUGAAUCUCAAGUUCUAUCGAUCUCUAAAUCAAGUCACAGAAGAGUCCCUCGUUUUAACAGCCGACUUUGUUGGCUGCACACCCUGUUGAGACCCAAGAUUUGCAUCUUAAGCAUAGAACGAUACAUUUUAACAACCAGCCGAUGAAGUGCUGAGGCGCGCGGUGAGAUACGAUGCUGAUAGAAGCUUGGAAAACCCUCAGAAUGUUUGGGUGUCAUCUCCAUUAACAAACGAGUAGUAUAGCGACCUACUGACCUCGUCUGUGGUCAAGUCAGGAUGCCCCUAUGGAUCUGAUGCAGGAAAAUGUUACCUGCCACUGCGUCCAUGGGCCAGCGUUUACAACUGUGUCCUCUGGGCAGUUCGAGGCCUGGACCACGUAACAAGGGUCCUUCUCACCAGGCGGGAGAGUUCGUUAGCAAAGACUGUUUCAAGAAAAAGGGUAGGCUGAGAGAUGGCUCAGUUGUUAAAGGCUAGGCUCACAACCAAAAAUGAGUUCGGUUCCCAGUAUCCAUUGCCUUGUUGGGCGCCAAUGGGAGGAGAACCACUGGACCCCCCAGUGUAAAGGAAUGUCAGGGCGGGGAGGUGGGAAGGGUGGGUGAUUGGGGAAACACCCUCGUAGAAGCAGGGGGAGGGGGGAUAGGAUAGGGGGUUUAUGGACAGGAAAUCAGGAAAGGGGAUAACAUUUGAAACGUAAAUUUUAAAAAUCCAAUUUAAAAAAAAGAAAAGAAAAAAGUUUUUUGUUUGGGUUUUUUUGUUUUGUUUUGUUUUGUUUUUUAGUUUCUGUAGUAUCGUUAGAAGGAUCAUCAUGCAUUCUCCAUUCUUCUAAUCAGCCAUGGCGUUACCUCUCUCCUCCCCUGUCAGCCAGAGAGAGAUAAUUACUCUGCGAAUCCCAUUUAAAAAGUCCUGCCCUUUGUAACUGGCUAGUGGGUAGACAGCCUCAGUUUCUUACAAAAACCUCAAAUGACCACCACAUGGGCGUGCACAGACUGCCACACCCCUAUCAUCAUUCUCCUCGAGGUCUAGUACGCCCAACAGGAAGGCAAAGUCCUGAUUCUGAGUAUCAACGAUGACAAAACGUAGCUUUUCUGGAGGUUUAUCAUCAUUCAUACCCUUGGCUCUAGGCUGUCUAUUGAAAAGGCAGCCAGCGAGCUUACCAUUCCUCUUGGCAAACUCCAGUGCCAGCUUUAUGGUUCUGCCAAGUUCUCUGGUAAACACUGGAGCAAAGUCCCAUGGGUGGGAGAGGAAAAUGCCCCAUGUGUCUCCCGGAAGCUAUGGAAACAUGGCAGCCUGGAGCCAUCUCUCAUGAAGGGAUUGUGUUAGACACGGCUCUGUGGAGAUACCACAGAGAGGGCUGCCUUCUGUCCUCUCCACCUCAAGGUCCUUCCACAUUGUGGCAACUGGCAGAAACUUCUUUUCUAGGCUGAGAAACAUUCCACUGCAUACACUGAUUACUGCUUCUUUUUUGUCCCUUAACAUUGGCAGACGGGUUGUUUCUAUACACCAGCUGUGAUGGAGAGAUGUUGUCGGCGCCAGCACCGACCUGGUACCGAGAAUCGGGCGAAAGCCUACGGGAUGAAAGAAACACACAUACACACACACACAGGUUAUCGUGUCAAGCCAGGAGAGGAAGAGAGGAAGAGAGAGAGAGAGAGAGAGAGAGAGAGAGAGAGAGAGAGAGAGAGGAAGAUGGGAUGGAAGAGUGAGAGUGAGGAAGAAGAGUGAGAGUCUCCUGUAGCUUUAUUCACCACUUAUAUACCCAAGUCUCCAGGUAGAAAAUAACUGGGAAGCACAGUGGGAAACCCUGGCUCGUGACUACCUGGCUCGUGACUUCGGUAACAAAAGACCAACUACGAGACCUGAUUAGGGAGAAAUCCCAGAAGACCAGCCUAAAUCUCAAGGAUAAAGGCUGAGGAAGUAAAAGGCAGAAGUAAAUUGACCACCACCCAGGUGUGGUCCAGGUGUGUGGGUUCCACAUGCAUCAGCCGGGCUCAGCAGAGGUCAUGCAGUGGAGAUAUCGGGUGUUUACUACUUGGUCUUUUCUUCCUGUGCCGUAAAUACAUGGGAGAGGCCUCUGUCCAACAAUCCCAUGACUUUUACUGUGGCCAUGCAGUUACAAAGCGGCCAGGCCCAAAUCCAAUAUGGCACUACAAGAUGUGACUAGACGGAAAAACCUUAAGCAACAAACAGCUGUGGGAUUUCAUUUAGCGAGCUCGAAUCUGCAGCUGUUAACCCACGCUUCUGAGAACAACAGCUGUAUUUGCCUGUGUUCUCGAUUUUCUCUCUUCGAGCUGUUCUCUGGCUUUCAGAAGUUGGCUUGUAACUUUUGACCAGAUGGAAUUCGAGCCCUUCUCCAGAUAAUCUGUGAUUUCCCUGACCUUUCUUAUCUUGAACUUUGAUGGGUUAAACUUUGAAAGUCAGUUUGCUAUUAGUCAGAAAGGCCGUGUGCUUUCUUCUCUCUCUCGUUAACUAACAGCAUCUGCACGGCUCUCCCUGGUUCCUCUUUAACUGGCCAGAUUGUUUCACUUCCUUCCCUUUGCUUCUCACUGUGAUAGAACACGGAGUGGAAGCCCCGGUGCUUCCUCAGAUUUUCAGGACAUAGAGAUAGAAUACUUUUGGAAUCAAUAGUAUCACAAUCUUUGUUUAGGGUGGACUUACCGAAGUCAAGAGUCAUUUUUAUUCAGGGCUGGGAAUUGUCUCAGUCAGAGUUCCUACCAUGACCAAAGCAUGUGGGAAGAAGGGCUUCAUUUCUGCUCACAACUCUCAGCUCCCAUCCCUGAGGGAAGUCAGGGCAGGAACUCAAGGAGGUCACAAACCUGGAAGCAGGAACUGAUGCGGAGGCCCUGGAGGAUGCUGCCUACAGGCUUGCUUCUCACAGCUUGCACGACCACCUGCUCCUGGGUGACACUGCCUAGAGCAAGCUGGCCCCUACCACAUCCAUCACCGAUCAAGAAAACACACUACAGGCUUGCUAACAGUCCAGUCUGGGUCAAGGGGGAGGGGACAUUUUCUCCAAUGAGGCUCCCUCUUCCUAAAUGGCUCUAGCCUGUGCUCAGUUGAUAUAAACCAGUCAGCACAGAAACACAGCUCAGUAGGUACAGUGCUUUUCCAGCAUACAUAAAACUCUGGGUUCAGUUAUUAGCUUUACGUAAACCGGGCAUGAUCACAUACGUUUGCAACGCCAGAGCUUGGGGAGGUAGAGGCAGGAAGCUCAGAUGUUUGAGGCCAUCCUUGAUAUCAGAAUGAGUUUAAGGUUAGUUAGACUUCGGUAUGUGAGACCCUGUCUCACAAGAAAGUGGUUUUUCAAAACCGUCUUUUCAUUUAAAUAGCGAAGACUUGGCUUGUGACCCUUGAAGAGAAGGAGAAAAGAUUUCCACGUCAAGGAAAAUCGUGAAAUGUCUCUCGGUGGCCGGUUCUCAGGACCUGUGGUUUUAGGGCUGACAACACCAAUCUUUUCAAAGGUCUGUGCUUUUCCUGUAACAUCGUCACCCCAUAUUUCAGGUUAAAUUACAGCAUGAAGCAUUGAUCUGUGCUAAAUGGCUUCCGGAAAUUCUUUCACUAGUCAUCUUUCAGAGAUGUUAUUAGGAAGGUAACUCUAAAUCAUAAAAGCCGCGUGUAUUUAUAUAUCGUUUAGCUUCUGUCGGGCUGUGUCCCGGCUAUUGGUAGAGACCUCAGGCCCGGCUGGUGCCACUGAUGCUUGCUUUGGAGACACCGCACUGGUUGCGCUGAGCCGGUGCGGGUUGGGGGCGUGGCUGA